GGAAUUUUUUUCAGACGGAUCAUGGUAUUUUCACUACACGGAUAAAGAUUCAAAGGAAAAAAUAUUAAGCAGCCGUAUCAUUCGAGCAUCUAUAGACACUAUAAAAGAUGCAUUAUUUGGCAUAGGUAGUUAUUUCACGAAAUGGUCACUUGAUUUUAAAUCAAAAGAAGACAUAGCAAUGAACAACUUCGGUAAUUUAGCGAAGCAAAAAUUGAUGGCAGGAAAAUUGGAUUGCUGUAUUGCAGUAUUUCUGAAAGAUUCAGAUGUGAAAAAUGUUUCACAAAAUGGCAGAGACAUUUACUUGUACCCUGGAGAUUUAUUGCUGUCAGGGGUCAAGUACUUUGUAUGCUAAGACAACACUUAAUAUCAGAUUUGAGUUUGUUGUCAAACUAGUUGUCAACUGUUUUGAGAAUAAUUAUGUAAGAGUUUUUAUCAAAAAAUAUAUAGCUUUUUUUGCAGUGAAUCCGUUACUCCAUGCUAUCUGACUACUAGUAAUUUGUUUUUAAGGAACAACAGUUUUUGGUUUGGUUUUGUAUUUUUACCUAAAUGCAUCUUUCAUUUGAGAAGUGAUUUUUUUUGUUCUAAUUUUGUGAUCAUAGUUGUCCUUAAAAAAAAAGAAACACACUAUAAUUUGACAUGGGACAACCACUUGAAUGUGUGGCGGGAUUGAAAGAUUUUUUCAGAUCUUAUCCUUUAGCCUCAGUUUUUAAUUUCUAUGUGUGGAAUAAUAAAAAAAAAACAUAAAAGAACAUACAAGAAAAAUGUCUUGUUCUAAAAAAACGGUAUAUAGAUAACAAAAUUAAUAAUAGCAAAUUUUAUUCAUACUUAUUUUUUAUAAUUGAAAUAAUCAAUACGUGCA